rnacentral:rRNA from 1 species
GACGAACGCUGGCGGCGUGCCUAACACAUGCAAGUUGAGCGACGAACCAGGGCUUGCCCUGGGGCAAAGCAGCGAACGGGUGAGUAACACGUGGGUAACCUACCCCGAUAACCGGGACAACCCGAGGAAACUCGGGCUAAUACCGGAUGUGCUCACUGGACUUCGGUUCAGUGCGUAAAGGAAGCUUCGGCCUCCGUAUCGGGAGGGGCCCGCGUCCCAUUAGUUUGUUGGUGAGGUAACGGCUCACCAAGACCGCGAUGGGUAGCUGGUCUGAGAGGACGAUCAGCCACACUGGGACUGAGACACGGCCCAGACUACUGCGGGAGGCAGCAGUGGGGAAUCUUGCGCAAUGGGCGAAAGCGUGACGCAGCAACGCCGCGUGGGGGAAGAAGGCCUUCGGGUUGUAAACCCCUUUCAGGAGGGACGAAGGUUCGGCGGUGAAUAGCCGUCCGGACUGACGGUACCUCCACAAGAAGCCCCGGCUAACUACGUG